UACAGAGGGGGCAAGCGUUGUUCGGAAUUACUGGGCGUAAAGGGCCAGUAGGCGGCCAACUAAGUCCGACGUGAAAUCCCAAGGCUUAACCUUGGAACUGCGUCGGAUACUGGAUGGCUUGAAUUCGGGAGAGGGAUGCAGAAUUCCAGGUGUAGCGGUGAAAUGCGUAGAUAUCUGGAGGAAUACCAGUGGCGAAGGCGGCAUCCUGGACCGACAUUGACGCUGAACGGCGAAAGCUAGGGGAGCAAACGGG
rnacentral:rRNA from 1 species